UGACGGCAACGCCAUUUAGUGUCCCUCACCCGGCACCCAGCACCCAGCAUUGGGUAGCCAGCACCCUGCAUUCGGCGCCCAGCUCAGCCCGCAGAGCACUCGGGGGAGCCAAUAAGGAGCUCUCUCUCCCACGGAAACUUGCACUGUGCCAAAGUUGAUAGGAGGUCGGAAACCGGUUGUUUCGUGCUUUGGGCGGAAACCCCAGACACCUGGCUUCUCUGGGUCUGAUGAGGGGCGUGGGCUUGCCCACGAGGAGACGUAGAUAGCCUUGAACAUCUGGCCCCUGCCAAGUCGCAGCGUAGCCCUGUUGCUCCGGCGGUGCGAUGACCCUUCAGAGACCCUCUGCAGCACGUUUAUUUGGGGGACCGCCAAAUAUGCGAAACAUCGUGAUUCACCCCAUUCUGCAUUAAGUAUAGAUUCAGGACAGCCAUCCUUCGGAGGUCGCACCAAGACCUUCCUUCUGCAGCCUUUCCUGACAAGUCCAGUCUCUUCGUUCACUUUUUCAUUCAAAAAUCUGGGUACACUGGAAAGAAGACAGCUUCGGUCCCGCCGUCAUGGAGUCCAGGGCGUCACCGCUCGCCACCAUGCAAUCGAGCCAAAACUUUGCAUCGGCACGGGAGACACAGUAAAACUCCCAGGUCCCUCUAGUGGAGAUUCUGCCCUAACCACCAAACCUCCCCGCCAAAUUCUUCUGCACUCAUCAGUGUGCGUGAGCAUGUGCCCAAGCAUACCGAUAGGUACGAACUUCUGCCCUCAAAUUCCAGGAGUGGUGUAUUAGUCAGAGAAACAGAAACAGUAGGAGACAGAGAUAGACAGACAUAUGGACGGAGAGAUGACUGAUAGGUAGGUAGGGUUUGUGGUAGGUGGAUGGAUGGAUGGAUGGACGGACGGACGGACGGACGGACGGACAGGCAGGUUAUGGAGGAUGCCAUUUUUGCCAGCUGGAGCCCCAGGAGAGCUGAUGGUAUAGUUGCGUCUCCAGAGCAGAAGGCUGAUGUCCCAGCUCAAAAACAGGCAGAAAGGUAAAGCUCCCUCCCUGCCUCUGUCCUCUUCACCCCUGGGUGACUUGAGGAGCCCCACCCACCUGGGGAGGGCCAUGUGUUUCGCUCAGUCUACAGAUUCAAAUGUGAACCUAAUCCGCGGAACUACCCUCCCAGACACACCCCCGUGAACGUCUGACCGGUCCGGUGACCGUGGCGCGCAGCCGAGGUGACACAGAAUUAACC